rnacentral:rRNA from 1 species
UGGGGAAUAUUGCACAAUGGGCGAAAGCCUGAUGCAGCAACGCCGCGUGAGUGAUGAAGGCCUUCGGGUUGUAAAGCUCUGUCUUUUGGGACGAUAAUGACGGUACCAAAGGAGGAAGCCACGGCUAACUACGUGCCAGCAGCCGCGGUAAUACGUAGGUGGCAAGCGUUGUCCGGAUUUACUGGGCGUAAAGGAUGCGUAGGCGGAUUUUUAAGUGAGAUGUGAAAACCCUAAGCUUAACUUGGGGACUGCAUUUCAUACUGGAAAUCUAGAGUGCGGGAGAGGAGAAUGGAAUUCCUAGUGUAGCGGUGAAAUGCGUAGAGAUUAGGAAGAACACCAGUGGCGAAGGCGAUUCUCUGGACCGUAACUGACGCUGAGGCAUGAAAGCGUGGGUAGCAAAACAGGAUUAGAUACCCUGGUAGUCCACGCCGUAAAACGAUGAGUACUAGGUGUAGGAGGUAUCGACCCCUUCUGUGCCGCAGUUAAACACAAUAAGUACUCCGCCUGGGAAGUACGAUCGCAAGAUUAAAAACUC